rnacentral:rRNA from 1 species
AUUGAACGCUGGCGGCAGGCCUAACACAUGCAAGUCGAGCGGUAACAGGAAAGAAGCUUGCUUCUUUUGCUGACGAGCGGCGGACGGGUGAGUAAUGCCUGGGAACAUGCCUUAGUGUGGGGGAUAACCAUUGGAAACGAUGGCUAAUACCGCAUAACGUCUACGGACCAAAGAGGGGGAUCUUCGGACCUCUCGCGCUAAGAUUGGCCCAGGUGGGAUUAGCUAGUAGGUGGGGUAAAGGCUCACCUAGGCGACGAUCCCUAGCUGGUCUGAGAGGAUGAUCAGCCACACUGGAACUGAGACACGGUCCAGACUCCUACGGAGGCAGCAGUGGGGAAUAUUGCACAAUGGGGGAAACCCUGAUGCAGCCAUGCCGCGUGUGUGAAGAAGGCCUUCGGGUUGUAAAGCACUUUCAGUUGUGAGGAAGGUUCAUGCGUUAAUAGCGUAUGGAUUUGACGUUUAGCAACAGAAGAAGCACCGGCU